rnacentral:rRNA from 1 species
UGCAAGUCGAACGGGUCCUUCGGGACUAGUGGCGGACGGGUGAGUAACGCGUGGGAACAUACCCAAAGGUACGGAAUAGCCUCGGGAAACUGAGAGUAAUACCGUAUGUGCCCUUCGGGGGAAAGAUUUAUCGCCUUUGGAUUGGCCCGCGUUGGAUUAGGUAGUUGGUGGGGUAAUGGCCUACCAAGCCGACGAUCCAUAGCUGGUUUGAGAGGAUGAUCAGCCACACUGGGACUGAGACACGGCCCAGACUCCUACGGGAGGCAGCAGUGGGGAAUCUUAGACAAUGGGGGAAACCCUGAUCUAGCCAUGCCGCGUGAUCGAUGAAGGCCUUAGGGUUGUAAAGAUCUUUCAGUUGGGAAGAUAAUGACGGUACCAACAGAAGAAGCCCCGGCUAACUCCGUGCCAGCAGCCGCGGUAAUACGGAGGGGGCUAGCGUUAUUCGGAAUUACUGGGCGUAAAGCGCACGUAGGCGGAUUAGAAAGUCAGAGGUGAAAUCCCAGGGCUCAACCUUGGAACUGCCUUUGAAACUCCUAGUCUUGAGGUCGAGAGAGGUGAGUGGAAUUCCGAGUGUAGAGGUGAAAUUCGUAGAUAUUCGGAGGAACACCAGUGGCGAAGGCGGCUCACUGGCUCGAUACUGACGCUGA